CUAUGGGGGGCAGCAGUGGGGAAUAUUGCACAAUGGAGGAAACUCUGAUGCAGCAACGCCGCGUGGAGGAUGACACUUUUCGGAGCGUAAACUCCUUUUAUAUAGGAAGAAGAUGACGGUACUAUAUGAAUAAGCGCCGGCUAACUCCGUGCCAACAGCCGCGGUAAUACGGAGGGCGCAAGCGUUACUCGGAAUCACUGGGCGUAAAGAGCGUGUAGGCGGAUUAAAAAGUCAGAAGUGAAAUCCUAUAGCUUAACUAUAGAACUGCUUCUGAAACUCUUAAUCUAGAAUAUGGGAGAGGUAGAUGGAAUUUCUGGUGUAGGGGUAAAAUCCGUAGAGAUCAGAAGGAAUACCGAUUGCGAAGGCGAUCUACUAGAACAUUAUUGACGCUGAGACGCGAAAGCGUGGGGAGCAAACAGGAUUAGAUACCCGGGUAGUC
rnacentral:rRNA from 1 species